UUACGGCCAUAUCACGCUUUAACACCGGUUACCGUAGGACCACCGAAGUUAAGUAACGUCGAGCCUGAUCAGUAUCUAGAUCUGCGACCGCUUGAGAAUACCAGGUGUUGUAA